rnacentral:rRNA from 1 species
CCUACGGGUGGCAGCAGUCGAGAAUCAUUCACAAUGGGGGAAACCCUGAUGGUGCGACGCCGCGUGGGGGAAUGAAGGUCUUCGGAUUGUAAACCCCUGUCAUGUGGGAGCAAAUUAACAGGAUAGUACCAGAAGGAGAAGAGACGGCUAAAUCUGUACCAGCAGCCGCGGUAAUACAGAGGUCUCAAGCGUUGUUCGGAAUCACUGGGCGAGAAGCGUGCGUAGGCGUUUUCGUAAGUCGUGGGUGAAAGGCGCGGGCUCAACCCGCGGACGGACAUGAUACUGCGAGACUAGAGUAAUGGAGGGGGAAGCGGAAUUCGCGGUGUAGCAGUGAAAUGCGUAGAUAUCGAGAGGAACACUCGUGGCGAAGGCGGGUUCCUGGACAUUAACUGACGCUGAGGCACGAAGGCCAGGGGAGCGAAAGGGAUUAGAUACCCUUGUAGUC